rnacentral:rRNA from 1 species
UACAGAGACUGCAAGCGUUAUUCGGAUUCACUGGGCGUAAAGGGUGCGCAGGCGGCCAUGUCGUGUGAGGCGUGAAAGCCCGGGGCUUAACCCCGGGAAUUGCACCUCAAACUACAUGGCUGAGAGCAUUGGAGAGGGUAGCAGAAUUCACGGUGUAGCAGUGAAAUGCGUAGAUAUCGUGAGGAAUACCAGAGGCGAAGGCGGCUACCUGGACAAUUGCUGACGGCUCGAGGCACGAAAGCGUGGGGAGCAAAAGGG